rnacentral:misc_RNA from 1 species
AUAACUUGAAAAUCAAGUCUAAAUAAAAAAAUCAAUCAAAAAUCAAAACUGAUCAGUUUGAAACCGAACCGAACCGAAAUAAAGCGAUUUGGUUCGAUUUAGUUUUUCACCCAUUUCGAUUCAGUUUGGUUUCUAAAAUAUAUAAUUUGAUUUUUAUAAUUUAGUCGGUUCGGUUCGGUUCGGUUCAAACCGAAUGCUCACCACCCCUAUUUCUACAUUAUUUUAUCAGCACCAUAAGCAGAAAUUUUGCAGCUCUUCACUUUAGAAAGUCCACUUUUGAGGAUCUGAUUCAAUUAAUCUUUUAUCAUCUAAUUAGACAAAAAAUUAUCAGUUUCACGUAUGCUAUUUUUUUACUCAAGUAUCUUUGCUGUUUGCCCUGGCAGAGAAUGAAUUAGCAUUUGAUCUUCUAUACUGCAUCACAUUCAAGCUAAUGGACCAUCAGUGGCUUACCAUGCACGCAUCAUAUAUGGACUUCAAUAUGGUUAUGAAAUCCACACGUCGUCA